GAACACAAAAUGGCGACACGUGGUUAGCAUUCGUCGCCAACGAGAAAUUGGGGUCGGCCCGAAAGCUCUAGAAUGCACCCCUCUUCCUCCCCGGGGCCUUCCACCUCCGCGAGUUUUAUGACUUAAAAAAGCCCACAGGCUGGUCUGAAGAGGAAGACAAACAUAAAGAUGAAGUGCUUAAUUCAAGGUCACACAAUGUCGGGGAUGGACCUCCAGAUUUCCUUACUGGUGAGACGUGGUCUUGUAACACAGUGGUUAAGAAUGUGACUUUGGAGCCAGCCUGCUAGGGGCUGAAUUCUGACUCAGCCAUUUACUAACUGUGUGACCUUAGGUCACAGAAUUUUCCACACUCCUUGACAGAGGUGCUUAACCCUUAUCCAUCAGCAUUCUCAGACAGCACCUCCGGUUAGGGACAGUAUCUGACCGUCCGACAUCCCUGCAGCCCCCAUGUGUCACACAGACUCAGCCUCAGGUAGAUGGUUUCCGUAGAUGGUGGCUUUCUUUGGACCCUUGACAUCAACCAGUUACUAUUUGGUCUAGGGGUCUCACCAACGCUGCUCAUCUAGCAGGGCCACACAUAACAAAUAGAAGCAGAGCAAGCCCUGGAACUCCUGCCUGACAGUGACACGACGACAGAAACAUCUUACCAGUCAGAGGACCAUGAGAAAUAGAUUCAAGGAGCAUUCCACGUGCAAGUGAGUCUUGGCCCCAUCUGCCUUUGGAUUUUAGCCGUGAACUGGAAGGUAUUGGAAAGAAGACCCUCAGAAAUAGCUUAAUCAAAAUCCCUGCGUCUGAACCAAGUGCCUUAUUUCUCUGUGGGCCUCAAGCUUCGCUGACAUCUGUGGAGCACACUGUCCUAACAGGAGUGCUGUCUGAUUUCCCAACGCUCUGCAAAACAAACAGCCUGGAAGGGUGGCUGGUGGAAGGUGGUUUUUAGAGAGAGACUUGUAGAUAACAGGAAAGUGAAGGCUGUAAGGAAGGUUGUAAUUAAACAGCACAUGGAAACACAAUCACAUUAUUGUCCCAUUCCAUAGGGAUAAUGAUGACCACUUCAGUGGGAAAAGGAGAGGUUUUAAGUCAUUAGGGACUAUGGGCCACCUUUUAGGAAGAUUUAUUUUCAAAGGUUAAAAUAGUGUUUUGGCAAUUCAAGUUUCAUUUUCAGAAAAUGUAAUUGAUGGGAACCUCAGUGACUCUGGAUGAAUAAGAUGCUGUUGAGUGGCUCUGACUUGGGCCAGCCGUGCUUCUCACAGGACCUUGGAGACCAAGGUCACUGUGAUCUCAGGUUCAGGGGGCAAGUCCUCUCCACACAGCCCUAGUUGGCCUCACAGCUGAAAAUGUCUCCCUUACUGUUGGACUCCUUUGUUCACCCACAUGAGUUUGUGAAUAAAUCCUUUCCAGUCUGAAA
rnacentral:lncRNA from 1 species